rnacentral:rRNA from 1 species
GUGAGGAAUAUUGGACAAUGGCCGAGAGGCUGAUCCAGCCAUGCCGCGUGCGGGAGGACGGCCCUAUGGGUUGUAAACCGCUUUUGUCAGGGGGCAAUAAGGUCUACGUGUAGACUGAUGAGAGUACCUGGCGAAUAAGCAUCGGCUAACUCCGUGCCAGCAGCCGCGGUAAUACGGAGGAUGCAAGCGUUAUCCGGAUUUAUUGGGUUUAAAGGGUGCGUAGGCGGAAGCUUAAGCGUGAGGUGAAAUGCCACUGCUCAACAGUGGAACUGCCUCGCGAACUGGGUUUCUGGAAUGCCCCUGCCGUGGGAGGAAUGUGUGGUGUAGCGGUGAAAUGCAUAGAGAUCACACAGAACACCGAUUGCGAAGGCAUCUCACGAAGGGGUGAUUGACGCUGAGGCACGAAAGCGUGGGGAUCAAACAGG